rnacentral:misc_RNA from 1 species
AGUUCUGGUUCCGGUGUAAACACGACUGGUUAGUUGAUUUGCUCAUUCUUAAACUUAUCGGUCAUCCUCUUACGAAAAAGUACCUCUGAUAAGCCUUAUCACUUUUCGUUAAUUGUUUGAAUAAUUAUGACUUAUAUUUAAAAAAAGUUCAUCUGGUUGUUAACAACUUUGUUUGUCAAGUAGGCGUUGACCAGAACGAAUUGGUUUUAUCAAUAAGAUUUGAUUAUUGAUAUUUGGAAGAAGAGAAGAUGUGGGAUCCAACACACGUGAAAGUAACUGGUUAGUCAUUUUAAAUAUUUAUAUACGAUAUGAAUUUAUACGGCUAAUAAUUUAAUCGGAAUGUUUGUAAUGAGAACAUUCUUUUCUGUCUUUUGAAAAAAAAAGGAACGUUCUAUUCCUUUGAAUCGACAUAGAUUUGUUAUUUCUAUCAUUUAAGUAAAGAUAUUUAUGAUAUUCUUAAUCUAAUGAUGAACAGUUAAACAUUAAUUUAAAAAUAAUAAUCUUAUUAAAGCAAAAAGUUAAAAAUAGCUAUUUGUGUCACGAUGAAUGAGAAUGUCGAAAAAAGGCAUGGAACGUUUAGUUAUUCAAGCUCGAAGCUUGCUAGAAAAAAAGUCAAAGGGAAACGAUGUAUACGUUGUCAUCUCUCUGGGGAAGGAGAAAUAUCGUACCUCUGUUCAAGAACAAACAAAGUCCCCUUAUUGGAACGAAGAAUGUGACCUAGUCAUUCCUCAAGAUCGAAAGCCAUUAAAACUCAAAGUUUUUCAUCGUAGUCUGUCAGCAUUAUCCAGUGAUGAUUUCUUAGGACAAGCACUAAUUCCCAUUCAAGACAUUGAUAUGGACGCUCAACCACGUGCAAAGUGGUAUACGCUAGAAAGUAAACCCUCUAAAAAGGCUGCUGUAAAGGAAAGAGGAGAAUUAGAAGUUAAAAUCUCUUUUAUUGUUAAAUCUCAGAUAGAUAGCUCAAAAUUAUCUGCAGGCCCUCUCGGUAAACGUACAUUGAGUUCAACGUCAAUUGGGAAAAUUAAGAAGCGUAGCGGUAGCUUAUUAUCGCUGUCUAAGAAAGCCACCUCAGGCAGUGUUCGUAAUCUGGCGUCCUCCGUUGGUAAAGUGUUUACACUAGGUAGAAAGAAGGAUAAAAAUAAGGCUUCUGCUGAUAGCGCAAGCGUCACGUCGUCGAUUGACGGAAGAGACAGUGAUCUUGAGAGAGAUAUCAAUACUAAUCCAUUUGAAGACGAUACGUCCUUUGGUGAAAAAGCGGAGGAACCACCAAAAAAAGGCUCUCCUAUAUGGGGGAAAAAGAACAAUGGUGGUUUAAGCGCUACAAAAUCUGGAAAAGGAUCAAAUAACUCAUCAAGAAGAGCUUCCGAUCAGUAUGAUUAUCCUGAUACAAAUCCGUUUGAAAUUGAAAUGAAUGGAACUAAAGAUCAUAGCAAUGAAAAUAAGACAACAAAUGGAAAAAAAUCUCAAUCGAAUAACUUGAACGAUUCCAAAUCAAGUCCCGAAAAGGAAAGUUUUGGAUCUCCGACUUCACCAACGGGUAAGUAAAAAGGUUUCUUUUUUUUCUUUUCAAGUUGAGGCUACAAUUACUUUUGUAAAAAGUUUAUAUUUUAACUAAUUGAAAUGUAAUUUAAAAGUACAUUUUUAAACGCUAUACUAAAUAAUGAAAGACAUACUUAGAUCAUCUAAUUCCCAAGUGGCAAUAGUCAAAAGUCUACUAAUAUUAACCUAGUUUUAGUAUUAUAAUUUAUAUAUGUAAUAUACAGUAUAUACACUAAUGUAUAGUUUAUGUACAUUUCCAAUCGACUUGUCAGUUGUUUUAUUUAUCUAUUAUUUUUCACUUUUUUUUCGUUAUAUGAACUGCAGUCGGUAAAAGUGAAAAUUCUAAUAAAGGUUAGUUUUAAAAAUAGUACCUUUUUUCGCCAUUUAUCCAUUAGCAUUAUGAUUACUAUGAUAGCUGUCUAUCUCUUUUAUAACUCUUUAUCAAUACGAUUGAUAUAUAAUUAAUAUAGGCCUGGCUUCAAACGUUGGUAUCCAGGCGGUUGCUGAAUCAAAGGUUGCUUGUAAUCAAACAAUUGAUGGUAAGUUGACUCCAUAUAUAACAUAUUUUUUCUAGGGUCGAUACCUUGACGAAGGUAAUAAGAAUAUAAAUAGUCGGAAAGUGUAGUCUAGUUAAAAUAGAUAAUGAAAAAAAGAUAGAACUAUAUUCUACAUAGAAAAUUUCUCUUAAAAUCACAAAAACAAAAAAAACGUCUUGUUUCUAAUAGCAGUAGAAUAAAUUACUUUAUUAACCCUACUUUAUUCUCCCGUCUUAAUUGUUUGUUUUGAUUAGACAUAUCGAAGAAAGACUCGCCACCAGCUAAAGGUAAUACUGGUAAGUGUUUUUUUUUUGUUUGUUUUUCUUAGGAUUUUAGCAACGAACUGCAGAUCAUUAAUAAGAUUAUUAUUUUUGAUAUUUGCAGUCUCGAGUUUUAUUUAUUUAUUUUUUUACAUGUACGCAUUCACAUUUUUUUAUUUAUACAUGUACAUACAUUGUGUUGGUAUUUAUUGUGUUGAAUUAGCAGAAAAUGACAUUGAUGCAAGUCAAUCACGUAGUAAGUAGUGCGUGAAAUUUUGCUAUAAAACUUGCAAAAGCCUACUUUUAUAUAAAUAUCUUUAUAUUAAAAUUAUAUACAUCUUAUUCUUAAUUCAUUAAUUUUCAAGCUACUUUUAGCUUUAAAAAAACGAUAUUUGUAGCUUUUUUUAUUUUAUUUUUUUUCCGCUAACGAAAAUUUUCUACACGCUUUUUUUUCUUUCUUUUUUUUUUAUCAGACAAUGAUAGAAAACCAUUCAAACGAAAAAACCAUUUAAUCUCAUCGUCAUUUUUAAUUGAAUGUAUGAUUUAUUUUUUAUCCUUUUUUUAUUUUGGGCACCAGCUUAUUAAGUUAUUUUUUGAAGUUUUUUUUGUAUAUUUUAAAUUGUUAUACCCAAAAAGAGACAAAGAAAUUAAAAAUAAGCUGUAAAAAGUUCAUAGGUACAGCUAAAAGGUUGAUAGGCCCUUUGGUCUUGAAAAAAGAUUAAACCUGUAAAACAAAUCUUUAAAGUAGAACAGAUUUUAAAAUUAGUUUGUAUUUAAAAAGAAAGACUUUGGAAAGUGAUAUUCUUUUUCUAACUAUGAAAUAUCUGUCUUCCUUUUUUUAUGCUUCAUUUUCGCUUGUUAAUAAUAACUUUGUCUUGUAUAUACUGUCUAUAGUAUUUUUGCAUUUAGUAUCUUAUCAUAAUACAAAUGAUUUCAUCUUACCAAAGGCGCGAGGGGAUCUUUUGCAAAAUUAAUCAAACUACCCGAUAAUGAUAAGAAAGUUAAAGCCAGCUACCUUGACCUAACUCGAGACGUAAGUUAUAACAAGUCUAUCUUCCUUUUCUUAAGCAACAAAGAGGAAAAGAAUUAAAAAUAGGCGAGGCUACGUUGCAAUUAAUUUGAUAUAUUUAAGUCGUAAAAUAGACAUUUCCCUUCCUCCUUUGUUCUAAGUGUCCUUAAAAAGGCCUUUCUCCUAUUUCAGGAACUAAUAAGUCUACUUAUGGCAAAGGAUGAAGAAAUAGACACAUAUCGUGUUAAAGUGGAUGAUUUAUGCGCCAAACUGAUGUUGGCAAAUCCGGCUCUGCUCGAGAUCAAGCCUACUCGACCUGUAACCAGAGGUCAUAGAGUUUCUACUUCUUGUGGAAGAAUAGAUUUCAGCUGAGCAUAUCAUUUAUUUUUCUUCAUUUAAUCGUCAUCUUUUUUUAUUUGAUAUAAUUGCAUUUCUUUAUGAUUGUUUUUUAUUUAUAGUUUGUGCAAUAUUUGUUAGUGAUAUGAUGCAAAAAUGAUAGAGCACAACGGUUUUUACGUGUUAUUUUAUUUCAGAGGAAUAAGCAACAAGCUAUUAUCAUGCUCGUGCUAACUUUAACGUAUUUGUUACGCGAUAAAAUGUUCAAUUUUGAUAUAUCUCACUUAGCGUAUUUAUAGACUGUCUAACAAACUUUUGCUGUGAUUUUUUGUUCUUUAAUUUAUUUCAUCAACUUCGAAAACUCUGAUUCUUAUGCAGACAAACAAUUCCUUAUUCUCUAUUCAGUCUAUUUCUCUCUAAUGUAAACGAUUUGUUGAAAUCACUAGACAAUUGAAAAAUUAAUGCAUACGUCUUUUGCUCUACUUGUAAACUGAUACCGAAAGAUAAAACGGUGUAGUUAACUUUUGUCUCUGAAAAAAAAAGAUGGAAAAAAAGAGAAAUAUUAAAUAUUUAGAAAAAAAAUUAUCCAAAUGGAAAUGUUAAAAUGUUUCUUUUUUUGUUUAAUCGUUUGUUUUUCUUAUAUAUCUAUAGUUAAAGUAGCUCUGAAAAGAAACUUUCAUGCUUUUCUUUUCUCUUCCCUUUAUCUUCUUUUCAAUAUAGUUGAUAAAAAAAUUUGCUGAAGUUAAAAAUUUAUUUUUCUUUUUUUAUUUCGUUUUCAUUGUAAAAGAAAUAAGUGCACGUUUUUCUUUUCAAUCUGUCAUUCAUUUCAUGGUAUAAAGAAAUAAUACAAUCA